rnacentral:rRNA from 1 species
UUUAGCUCACCAAUCCACCCAUAACCCAUCUGAUCAUAUCUGAUUUUGGAAGCUAAGCAGGUUGGGGUCUGGUUAGUAUUGAGAUGGGAGAUCGCUGGAUAUGAUCAAGACUCUGCAGCUAAGG